GAGUGAAAGAACCCGGGUAAGCCAAGAGCAGUCCGAACUUCUAGGAAGCCGACCACGCCAAACGGACGGAGACCAAGGCCAGAGGACCGAAGACAAGCAGCCCAAAGGUCAUCUGCUAGAGGGUGUUUCACCUCUGCUACUCAGCAUUCAUCCAUGUCUACAAGGACAGAGAAGUUACUGAGGAAAUUGGUGAUGGGCCUGGCUGUCGUUGAGGCUGCUCCCGAUUAAGAUGGAUCUGGACUUUGGCAGAUUGUCCCUGUGGACCAACAGCUGUCAGGACAUGCAGACAGGAAGUCAAGGGGUGGGAUCUCCAUUCCUCCAGUUUGGUUGUGACUUGUUUUCCUACAAGGAGUGUCACAGACAGGAUGUCUGGUAUUUGACCGCAUCAAAGGGCUCGAGCGUGAGGCAAAGGUUGAGAGCCACUGAUUUAAACCAAGCUGUGGUUUGAUUACCUGUAUCCCAGAAUUCGUGUGCUGUAAAGAGUCACCAAAAGUCUGUGUUAAUGGUAACUGGAGAAGAGGCGUCUGGAUGAGUCCUGGAGGAUGAGGAAGGCCUCUCUCCUAACGGAAUUUCAUCCCAUAAGCCAGGACCUCAGCUAAAGCACUGACAAGGAUGUGAGCUGUCUGUGCCACUUCUUUGGUGUUUAGACUAAGAGCUGCCAAAAAGAAAUGGAGGCAACGUACAGGGUAGAAUGUGACAGCAGCCAGGCACUGAAUUUUCUGGAGUUUCAUUAUUGACCUGCAACUGGAUGCUGAGAUCAAAACAGAAUAGGGCACCAGGAGAAAGCACUAGAGGUGGAAUUCUGCUGGAUGAAGAAGGGGGAAAUACAGGAUGCAUCCUUGACUAGGCUCUUCUUCAGGAGAGAAGAUGCACAAGGAAAGUUCGUGCUCCAGACUGCACUUUCAUCUUCUUGUUUGCUUGCUAUUUUUUUCUUACGUGAUUAUUUUUUUCUUCUGUCUUUGGUGCUGGAGUUCUGGUGUAGGUCUUUAUCCAUCAGAUUUGAUAUCAAUAUAAAAUGGCGAUAUAUGGGCUGUCAGGGGAAGAGACCUGAAGUGAGGUUUCUUUGCUCUUCUAGGGCAACACUGCCAUCAUGCAGAACAUGUUUUCAUACAUGCCAGAAAACACAGGGUUUCCUCACUUCUCACCAAUUUGAAGGUGAGGGAAUUCUUAGAUAAUCAAGCCUGGCCUCCUACCAGUUUUUUCUUUCAUUCUACACAGAAGAGAAUCAUGGGGCCUUUCAGAAUGUUAACAAAGACCCAGUUGAUGAAGGGACCUGUACCAAAUACAAUUCAAAUGCAAAUUUAUUAAAUGUUGAGUUUGUUCACAGUACAAAGUGACUGGAAUUUAUAGUCAUUUCAGUAUACAUGGCACUCCAAAUGCUAGGAAGCAUUAUAUCCUGAGACCUACUUAGGUCAUUGCAGGCGGGUAGUCAACCUCCAGCUGGACACCCAAGUCCUGUUGCCUGGAUCAGGAUGUGGGUAUGGUGCCCAGGGUAUCUGUGAAGUGAAUCUGGCAGAGAACCAGGUUUCCUGGGUUCUAGAUGUGAUUGACUGACAGCAUUUACUUCUUCUACCUAGAAGUGGAGCCCAAGAUGUGGCCUGCAGAGACAUUCCUGUACCAGGAGUGAGGUCUGGAGGUGGAGCCCUGCCUGGAGAAGAAGAAACUGCAGGCUCUGUCAUCAUCUGUCCAGGGACUUCCUCAAAUAAGAUGAUGCCCGAGGAAGGAUGAAAGAGUUCUCUGUCUCCUAGUGGAAGUGCAUACCAUGUGCAGGGCCACAGUCUCCAAAGCAGUGACUGAUGUGAGCUGUCUCUGCCUGUUUGGUCCUUCUACAAAGAGUUGCCAACAAUUCAUCACGGAGUACGAAGAAUGGAGGGUGACAGUGAUCACCUUGCACUGCAUAAGCAAGGCCUGCUACAUCUGUCAGGAGAGCAUGUCUGAUGCCCAUGUGAAGGCACUGGAGGUCAGAUGUUGCUGGGUGCAGAAUGGCAGAGAUGCAGGAUGUGAUCACUGGCUGAAUGCUGACUUCGUCAGAAGAGGAGCAUGAGGAAGGUAGCACAUGGAAGUAAGAGCCAGAGCACCAGUGUACAGUAAGAAAUGGAGCCCAAGAUGCGACCUGCAGAGACAUUCCUGUACCAGGAGUGAGGUCUGGAGGUGGAGCCCUGCCUGGAGAAGAAGAAACUGCAGGCUCUGUCAUCAUCUGUCCAGGGACUUCCUCAAAUAAGAUGAUGCCCGAGGAAGCUGCUGUUCAUGGAUGGGAAUACUGGAAAGAUGAUUAUAGAAGCUGCCUUUCAGUGUUUCUAUGGACUCUGUCUGCAAUGUCAGGACUCACACGGCUGGAAGAUGCUGAUAGUGCUGAGAAUGAGGACAAUUUGGACUACCCAUAUGACACAAGGGGUGGGAGAAGAGGAGGCAAGAUGGCGCUGCUGAGCUUCUGUAGGGCACUACUGCCCCGAAGAGGAAUGAGUCUUAACAGAUCAGUUCCUUUCCCAUAAGCCCCAGCAAUGGGCCACCAAACUGAAGCCCAUUGUCUUCUAAGGCAGGAAGAGACACCAGGAAACAGGUAUACCCUGGAAACUGGUGUAACUCCAAAGAACAUGAACAUCGAGGAUCGUGAACUGUCCUCCAGCGGCUUGGGAUACUGAAACUGUGUUUUACUCAGUUUAGACUUGAAACAGGAAACAACCCAAAGACAAAUGCAAACUCUCCACAGUCAAGAUGGCUCCUGGGCUAUGGAGUGAGACUUGUCAAUGAACUUAGGCAGUCCUGUGGGGUAGAGGCAUGGUGCGGGAGGAAGGGAGUGGGGGUGGGGACAGCAGAGGAUGGGCGUGCUUUGUAUUAUGGCUCUUGUCCCUCCAGUUAACAGAACUUCAUGGAACAUCAAUGCACUGCAAUUGUGGAACCCUCAGGGCAGCAAUGUAAGACUAGUAAGACAAGCUGGUUGCAGGUGACAAAGUGUGGUUAGAAAAGGCCUAAGGUGUACCCUAUUGCCUGUAUCUGAAAGCAUAAUGAUUUCACGAGAAAGCUCACAUGUUGCUUCAAGGGAACUGAGCAGUAGACAAAGCCCCCCCCCCCGGCCCCCAAGGAACAUGCAUUUAUCUCCAGGAGGACAUCUUUGGUCUUUCCAAACUUGAGAAUUCCAGUUGGUGGUCCUAAUGCUUUCCUGUAUCAGUAUUUUUGUUCAAGGCUCUUCUUUUCAGGCCCCUCUCCCUUCAUGGUCUAAACUGAAGCAUCAUUAGUGUCAGGCCUCUCCUAAAUCCUUGGGGAAUGACAUGUUGGCCAAAUGUGGAGCCCAAUCAUCUUCUAAGACCUUGAAGGCCAGUCCUUCCUUCAGGUGUCAGUACAGAUCCAGACCAUCCCUGAAUCUGCAUAUUGAACACUCUUCCCUUCCUGUUUGGAAAAACAUGGUCAAGAAAAGGAAGCCUGAACAUGUAGUUACAGUUCAUUUUGGCCUUGUUGGUAGGAAUUACUUUAGGCAGAGUUAUCAGUUAACUAGUGUGCUAGAGGAUUGUUUUGUCUCCAACAUAGGAUUGAUUUGGUGAAAAAAGGCAGAAUGGGGGAAAGUGCUUAAAGCCCAGAGAACCUUUGUUUUUUGGUUUUCUUUUGAGACACAAAAUCUAACUGUGUAACCCUGAGUAGCAUCACCUCAGCCCCAGGCUUGGGGUAGUUUGUCAGUGUUUUAACACAUCUCUAGCAGAAACCCCACAAAUCCACAUGUUCCUUUAAUUACUGUUUGAUACCAAUAUUCUUUCAGUAUCUCCUGUCAAACCCAGUUUACCUGUGAGGAACUUUCCCUCACAUCUGCAUCUAGAAGAAGCAUAGACCUUGUUCAACUCUCCAGACAAUUGGGCAUACCUGAGACUGUCCCAAACACACCUUCUCAUCUUGUACGGCUUCUAGAACUGACCCGUGCUCGCUGUUUCUGCACUGUUGCAAUAACUUAGCCAUUGGGCUUAGCACAGAGACUUUAGUUAAAAGCCUGCUAACUCAUGCUCCAAGGGGCAGAGCUGGAAAGAAGUGCCCAUGUGAGCCCCAAUUUGUCUUUUCCUGUGUUUUUGGCAUCCUUGAAGUGAGAGGAACUGAGGCCCUCCAUUGGGCUCUGUACACCCAUUUUCCACACCAAGGUAUAAUUGGCAUCUAGGCCUCUCUUAGGACAUUGAGGAGGAGGCAUGGGGGUCCUGAUGUUAAUUUUUUCAGGUUGUGUGCCUCCAGUUGCAGGCACAUACUGUGAGGACAGACUUUCAAGUGACUGUUCACUGUUAAAUAGGUUUGGCUGGAGUUUGACAUUAGAAAUUUUAAUCUUACAUCUAUUAGCGCUAUCCUCAUCUUUACCAUGCUUCAUAUAAUCUACUUAGACCUGUGGUGAUUUCAGUCUUCCCCUGAACAUUUUUGUUUUUACUUUUACACAGGCUUUUUUUUUUGUUCUGUCUUCUGGUGCUCUGCCUAGGGCUUGUAAUGCUGAGCUGUUAGAGAAAGUCACGCUUGCUCCUUGUAGGAGGGAAUCAUUCCCCUCCUUGGAGAUCUGUAAUUUCCCCUUUCCUUGACUCCCAUUUUAAAGCUAUCUAUUUAUAUUUUAUGACUGCGCAUGUUUCAUCUGUCUGCCUUCAGAAGCCAGUGUCAGAUCCCUGAGUCUGGAGGUAUACAUAGUUAUGAACUACCAUGUGGGUGCUGGGAAUCAAAUCUCCUGGAGGCGCAGCCAAUCCAAUUCUCUUCACCACUAAGCCAUCUCUACACCCCCCAUUUCCCCAACUCCUCUUUUCCGUUGACCUCUUAUUUCCAAGCUCCAGUGGAGGACUUUCUCAUUAUACUUGGCUAGUAUACAAAUGCAUUCACUGAUGAACUUUUGAUGUCUCUUAGAUAGAUCCACUGAAAAGGUACCAAACCACCGCACCUAAAGCCCCAAAAAUGAUGUCAAAAUCCUUUACCUGCCAAUUAGAGUUAUCCCAUACAAAGAGAAUGGUGAGACAGGAAAUUGGAAUUGGCUAGGUAAUUUAGGGACAAGGACCAUGAAAGGAACAGUUCCAGGAAUGUCUUUGGUUUCCCAGGCAGAAAUGUUUUAUGUUGCCUCCUCCUACAAGAGCACCUACGCCUGGUGGAGAAUACAUGAAAGGGGGAGACAAUGGUCCCUUAUGGUGAGUGGCUUUAGAAUUGGAUCCCUAGAUUUUCAUGAAAAAAAAAAAAGGGUUGCAUCAAUUUCCCAAUCUGGGCCUUCUCCUAAAUGAUAUUAGAAUUACCUCUUCAGAAUGAACGAUGUUAUAUUCCUCAGUGUGAGCAUUGGUCUAGCUGGGCCACUCAGUUGUCUGAUGGAGAGCAGCACUUAGGAAGGCUGAUUUAGCCAGGCGUGGUGGAGCACGCCUUUAAUCCCAGCACUCAGGAGGCAGAGGCAGGCGGAUCUCUGUUAGUUUGAGGCCAGCCUGGUCUACAAAGUGAGUUCCAGCCUCCAAAGCCACAGAGAAACCCUGUCUCGGAAAAAAAAAGGAAGGCUGAUUUAUCAAAUACCAUGGUAAAGGGAGAGGAGUGCUUUAUUUAGGUAGUGUGCGUUUCCUUCCUAGGAAGGCCACACGUGGUAUAGUAGCUUUUGGAACCACACCUAUCACCUGUCAUUCGGCUCUGGACAGGGUCUGCCUGCAUGAUUCAGAAAAGCGCUCUCACUAUCUGUCCUCUUAUUCUCCCUUGUACAUGGGUGUUUGUCCAACACAUGGUGCCUUAUAAGUAGCAUGGCAUGGCUUUUCUCUUUUUUCUCUAUUCUCUAUUUCAACUUCCUUCCCUGGGCAGCUGAGAGAUUUAUACCUUGACCAUCCUGGGGACUUUUAAACUGAUAAAAUUGCUCAGGUCAAAUGUCCUUCUGAGUCAUUUCCUCAAUUAUCUUAUUAAUGAGACUAAGAACCUUAAGUGGGUAUCCAAAGUUUCCCAUAACAGAAAGACAACCACAGAACAGUUCAAAAGUCAAUAUCUCAUGUUUGUAUGUGUUUGUGUUCAGAGCGUAGAACUGUGGCCUCUGCAUCAGCUCCUGCUUCCAGCUUCCUGCCCUGACUUCUUUUAAGGAUGGAGUAUGAUGUAGAAGUUUAAGCCAAAUAAAAUAAGCUCUCUUCC